GUAUCAAGUUUCCAAAACCUCGUCAGUCCUUGAAGGAUCAGCUCUCCAAAAACUGAAAAAUAUACUCCCUAAACAGAACAAAAUAGAAUGUUCUGGGCCUGUAACUCACUCAAGUGUUGACUCUUACUUUCUACACGGGGACCUCUCUCCUUUGUGUCUUAAUUCUAAAAAUGGAACGGUUGAUGGAGCCUCUGAGAACACUGAAGAUGGACUGGACCGGAAAGAUAGUAAGCAGCCCAGGAAAAAACGUGGCCGCUAUCGACAGUAUGAUCAUGAAAUCAUGGAAGAGGCCAUUGCAAUGGUAAUGAGUGGAAAAAUGAGUGUUUCCAAAGCACAA
rnacentral:lncRNA from 1 species